ACAAAAUCUAUAAUUGGUAAUUGAUGAGGAGGUUCAUCUUCCUUGCGAGCUAGGUGGGGUACUGGUUGGUAUGGAGUCAGGAAGACUUGAGUUCAAAUUCAGCCACAGAUACUUCCUAGCUAUGUGACACUGUGCAAGUCAUUUAACCUCAGUUUCUCUAUCCGAAAAUGGAAGUCAUAAUAGCAUCUACCUCUUAGAGUUGUCAGGAGGAUCAAUUGAGAUAAUAUCUGUACAGUACUGAGCAUAGACCUGGUAUAUAGAGAGAAAUGUUUGCUCUUUAUUAUAACUAGGAAUAUCACCUCAUCCUUUCUGGGUUGCUCUCUUUAAAGAAUAGUCUUUAUUGAAAAGUCUACAGAUCCUUACAGUCAUUGUGACUCUAGGAGAAUAAUAAUAACUAACAUUAAUAGAACAUUUUUAGGAAGGAACUUUGCUUACCCACAUUUUACAGAUGAAGAAACUGAGGUUAAAUGAAUCACUCAGGGCCACACAGCUAAUAAAUAUUGGAGAUAGGUUUUGAACAGAGGUCUUGCUUUCUCCAGGUCCAGAGCUCUCUCCACUGAACCACCUAGCCUCUUGUAGCAGAUUCAAUAAGGGCUUCUUAACAUCUCUCAGAAAACAUCACGGGAACUCCAGGCACCAUCAUGCCUUGAACUUAAACAUGAUGAUGAUAGUGCAAGAAGAGAGAAUAAGAAGGACCAGUCAA
rnacentral:lncRNA from 1 species